rnacentral:rRNA from 1 species
ACAUGCAAGUCGAACGAUGAACCUCACUUGUGGGGGGAUUAGUGGCGAACGGGUGAGUAACACGUGAGUAACCUGCCCUUGACUCUGGGAUAAGCCUGGGAAACCGGGUCUAAUACUGGAUACGACCUUCCCGCGCAUGCGGUGUUGGUGGAAAGCUUUUGCGGUUUUGGAUGGACUCGCGGCCUAUCAGCUUGUUGGUGGGGUAAUGGCCUACCAAGGCGACGACGGGUAGCCGGCCUGAGAGGGUGACCGGCCACACUGGGACUGAGACACGGCCCAGACUCCUACGGGAGGCAGCAGUGGGGAAUAUUGCACAAUGGGCGCAAGCCUGAUGCAGCGACGCCGCGUGAGGGAUGAAGGCCUUCGGGUUGUAAACCUCUUUCAGUAGGGAAGAAGCCGGCCUUUUGGGUUGGUGACGGUACCUGCA